rnacentral:misc_RNA from 1 species
AACGCACAUUGCGCCCUCUGGUAUUCUGGAGGGCAUGCCUGUUCGAGCGUCAUUCGACCCCUCAAGCCUAGCUUGGUCUUGGGAUCCGCCAGUGUGCGGUCCCUAAAACCAGUGGCGGCGUCUCGAGGCUCUGCGCGUAGUACAUCUCCUCGCGAUAGACCCCUCGAUGUGCUUGCCAGGAACCCCUCUUUCUCAGGUUGACCUCGGAUCAGGUAGGGAUACCCGCUGAACUUAA